UGGGGGAUAUUGCACAAUGGGCGAAAGCCUGAUGCAGCGACGCCGCGUGGGGGAUGAAGGCUUUCGGGUUGUAAACCUCUUUCGCUAUCGAACAAGGCCCGCUUAGGGUGGGUUGAGGGUAGGUGGAGAAGAAGCGCCGGCUAACUACGUGCCAGCAGCCGCGGUAAUACGUAGGGCGCGAGCGUUGUCCGGAAUUAUUGGGCGUAAAGGGCUUGUAGGCGGCUUGUUGCGCCUGCUGUGAAAACGCGGGGCUUAACUUCGCGCGUGCAGUGGGUACGGGCAGGCUUGAGUGUGGUAGGGGUGACUGGAAUUCCAGGUGUAGCGGUGGAAUGCGCAGAUAUCUGGAGGAACACCGAUGGCGAAGGCAGGUCACUGGGCCAUUACUGACGCUGAGGAGCGAAAGCAUGGGUAGCGGACAGG
rnacentral:rRNA from 1 species